UAGAUGUUAAAAGCAAGAGACAUGGGAGAGCAUCGUUCCUUUGAGAUUUUAUAAAUCAAACCAACUUUGGAGUUGUCUGAUUUGGAGAGUCAUUAUUCUUGGUCUGCGUUCUUAGAGGCCACUGACGAAGAACAGGCGGUGACUGGGAUGAAUGCUGGUCAGAGAGGAGAAUCUUCUUUCCCCUAAACUGAUGCAGCGGUGGUUUUAAAGGAGGACGCUGCCCUGGAUGAUGUAGAAGAUGUCACAUGCUGUGCUGAUGGGGCUUCUUCAUGACUACAUCAGUUAUGCUAAAGAGAUCAUGAAAAUUGACCGUGAUGCAUGAUCUGUAUUCAUGGACUAUGAAACAAACUGUAAGUGUAUAAUUUGUUAAAAAAAAAAAAAAAAAGUUAAAUGCUUUUUCUGUGUUGUUUAGUAGAAGAGUUUACACUCUGUCAUUCAUACACCUGCUCACAUUUUCACACACACACACACACACAUGCGUCUGUUAAAUGUUAUAAUAUCAAAGUUAAUGUUGUGAUUUAUUUGUGUACAGUCAUGCCAGAAUAGUUGGAAAAAACCUAACUAAUUGUAAAUUUAUUGUAUGUGUUUUCGUAUAUUUUUAUACAAUAUAUACAAUUGAACAAAGUCCAAUUUGAUCUUAAGUUAUAUUCAUCAAAUGUUCAAUGCUUUGUUUAUGAACUCUGUAGCUGUUAAUGCCAUCCUUUUCUGCAUUUCUUCUAACAUGUUACUUUUUGACUUUUCUCUUGUUUUUAAUAAAUAUUUUCCUUUUGAUAAUUAUUA